AGGAACGCACUCCGAUGGCGGAACAUGGCGGAUUGAUCUCGCUUCACUUUGUGGAGUAUUUGUUUGUACAACCGUAUUAAGAAUUGUUCGUAAUGUGCGGACGAGCAGGUCCAAACUAAACCAAGUGAUCGUAGACGUUGAAAGUUUAAGGUUCGUAGUAAAAGCGACCAAAGCUCAACGCGCCCAUCAGGCCCAUAAAAGCUCUCUGUCUCCGCGUCUAAAGCCCUUGCGUGGGUAACGAGCUGGGCGCUGGGCCAGGCCGCGCAGCGCCAGACCGUGUUGCUCUGGCAUCUCUCACGGCCACCUAUACCGACUCGGAGGGCGAGGACGGGGUGGAAGACGAGCGCCUGCAGGAGGAG
rnacentral:misc_RNA from 1 species